rnacentral:tRNA from 1 species
UGGUUAGUGGUUCAGUGGUAGAAUUCUUGCCUUCUGUGCAGGAAAUGUGAGUUUGAUUCCCAGCCAA